CCUACGGGAGACAGCAGUGAGGAAUAUUGGUCAAUGGACGAGAGUCUGAACCAGCCAAGUAGCGUGAAGGAUGACUGCCCUAUGGGUUGUAAACUUCUUUUAUAUGGGAAUAAAACGUUCCACGUGUGGGAUUUUGUAUGUACCAUAUGAAUAAGGAUCGGCUAACUCCGUGCCAGCAGCCGCGGUAAUACGGAGGAUCCGAGCGUUAUCCGGAUUUAUUGGGUUUAAAGGGAGCGUAGGGGGAUUGUUAAGUCCGUUGUGAAAGUUUGCGGCUCAACCGUAAAAUUGCCGUUGAAACGGGCAGUCUUGAGUACAGUAGAGGUGGGCGGAAUUCGUGGUGUAGCGGUGAAAUGCUUCGAUAUCACGAAGAACUCCGAUUGCGAUGGCAGUUCACUGGACUGCAACUGACACUGAGGCUCGAAAGUGUGGGUAUCAAACAGGAUUAGAUACCCUGGUAGUC
rnacentral:rRNA from 1 species